UACCGAGUUAUUCAACUCAUCAACCCUGUGAACAUACCUAAACGUUGCUUCGGCGGGAAUAGACGGCCCCGUGAAACGGGCCGCCCCCGCCAGAGGACCCUUAACUCUGUUUCUAUAAUGUUUCUUCUGAGUAAAACAAGCAAAUAAAUUAAAACUUUCAACAACGGAUCUCUUGGCUCUGGCAUCGAUGAAGAACGCAGCGAAAUGCGAUAAGUAAUGUGAAUUGCAGAAUUCAGUGAAUCAUCGAAUCUUUGAACGCACAUUGCGCCCGCCAGUAUUCUGGCGGGCAUGCCUGUUCGAGCGUCAUUACAACCCUCAGGCCCCCGGGCCUGGCGUUGGGGAUCGGCGGAGCCCUUUGUGGGCACACGCCGUCCCCCAAAUACAGUGGCGGUCCCGCCGCAGCUUCCAUCGCGUAGUAGCUAACACCUCGCGACUGGAGAGCGGCGCGGCCACGCCGUAAAACACCCAACUCUUCUGAAGUUGACCUCGAAUCAGGUAGGAAUACCCGCUGAACUUAAGCAUAUCAAUAA
rnacentral:rRNA from 1 species